CCGGCGUCGGGCGAGCGGGCGGGCGGGUGCGGUCCGAAGGGUUCCGCCCCCCACCCCACCCCACCCCCGGUGGCUCGUUGCUUGCGGCUUCUGUUGCCCAGCGCUUUCGGACUCCUCCGGGGCCCCUCCGUGGCUUCCGGGGAGACGGAGCCAAAGUGUUGUUGCUUUGAGUAGUUGCGAGCGACCCCGGGUCUCAGGGAGGGCUUCAUUGCCGACUGAAGAAACCCAGCGACCUCGGCCUCCGGCUUACCCAGCUCUCCUGCCCGAGGGGCAAAGCCCCCUCCUCUUUUCUUUAGUUUGCACGGGAUGCGCUUUGACUCCGUGAACAGUCUCAUUGUGGUGGUGCCAGCCUUUAAAGCCCGCACCCAGGAGGCAGAGGCAGGAGAAUCUCUGAGCUCGAGCCCAGGCUGGUCUACACAUGGAAAGGCCGUAUUUUGAGGAAUACAUGUAAUGUUCCAGGGGAUCUGAUACCUUCACACCAAUGCACAUAAAAUAAAGUUAAAGAAAUGAAAGAAAUCAUUCAUUUGAGGAUGCAGCUCGGUUGGAAGAAUGCUUUUGAUUCCUACCCAUCACUCAGAAAACCAUAUGGAGGACCGAGUGCUAAUCAAAAUUAUAUCAAAAUAAACCUGUCAGAAUAUAUUGGAGAUUUACAUUGAUCAUGAAAAUUCUCAUGCAGUUGAAAUGUUUGGUUUGGAUUUCCUUUGGAAGUCCUUGGAGGAAGACUGGAUUUCUUGAAAUGUUUGUGGCAUUGUAUCAAUAACCUGGAGCAGAAACAUGGGGGCAGGAGACAGCAGGUAUUCCGGGACUGUUGUAAGAAUAGUGACCCUGCUCUUCGCAUUACAGUGUGUCUUCCCUGAGGAACGGAUGUCGUUACUGUGAUACACCUCUAAGAAACUUAGUGUCCUUUGCUCUGUAGGUCCAUGGCAUCAGAAGUACAGUGAUUAUCUUCGUUGUUUUAUCAUCUAGGUUAAAUUCUUUCUCUCAAGGCGUUGUCCACUUUGUCAGCAAAUUAUGUCCACUCUUCCUCAAUACACCUAGGAAAAGAAAACAAAAGAAAGUGUUAAGGAGGCCACUGGAAAAGCCAGACACCCAGGGAAGAGCUCAGGGCUGACAGCCUGAGAGCUGGUCAUUCUGGGAAACCAGAGGCCUUGGCAGUCCCCAUCUGGCAUCUAAAACCUGGAAGGCUCCAGGAGAGUUCUGGAUCUUCAGCCCACCUUGGAAGCCUAAAGAAGCUGGAGUCUGAUGCCACCAGGGGUUGGAGGCAGCAGCAGGAGAGAGAUGCACUUAAGAGGUGAAGGCUGCAGGCUGGCCACACUGCAUAUACCAUGGAGGUCAGCACUGGGAUGCACUGCCCACACGGGAAGAGUCUCCCUGCCUCAGAGACAGACAGGACUUUCAGACCCUGUGGGGAAGCUGACUUUAUUUGGAAGCUCUGUGGAGUUGUCUAAAUCAACGCUGGGAGGAAUUGAACACAGUUACUCUGUGCUCACAGACUGUGUCUUUAACAAUAUCUACAGGAUGCUUUUGAGGAGGCACGGUGGGAAAGGAGAACCCAGAAGAUGAGCAGUUGCUAGAUGACCGCAGUGACAUCAUCCAGCUAUGAAACAAUGGCUGCCCCUCCACAGCUAGCAGCAAUGCGAACUGUCACCAGGGUUAUGGAAAACAGUGCGGCAUGCUUUGGUGCAUUUAGCCAUCAAAGUGACCUACUGAGAGUAAAAUGUGCCUGUUUGUUUCAAAUCAGCAUGGCGUGCCCAUGACAUACUUCAGAAAUUGAAGUGUACACAUGAAAAUUUAGAUUUACGAGGAUGUUUACUGAGUAUUGUCAGUAAAGGUAAAGAGAAAGCAAAUAAAUGCUAGCUAGGAAAAAAGCACCACAGGGAAACCGACAGUGGGAUAAUUGGCAUUACCUCACUGGGAGACAUAGUUAGAUGGUUAGCACCAUGGGUUAGAGCCAUCACCAUCCAGGAGUGAUCAAAUGAGAAGAAAGGAGAGCAGAGAAAUCUGAAUAAACGGAUCUGACUUACAAAAUAGAUACGCACAAUAAAACUUCGUGUGUGUGUGUGUGUGUGUGUGUGUGUGUGUGUGUGUGUGUGUGUGUGUGGUGUGAAAUCCUUGGAUAGAGAGAGAAGAAGCAAGCUGGUGGCUAGCAAGUCUGAAAGUUCAUUUAUAAACCUACCAAAGGAGAACUGGACUGUCUGUAUCAUUCACAAACCUAUCAGAGGAGGACUAGGCUGUCUGUGUCAUUCACAAACCCAUCAGAGGAGGACUGGGUUACCUGGGUCAUUCACAAACCCAUCAGAGGAGGACUAGGUUACCUGGGUCAUUCACAAACCCAUCAGAGGAGGACUGGACUGUCUGUAUCAUUCACAAACCCAUUAGAGGAGAACUGGGCUGCCUGUCCAGGGCUGGGGUUGUGGGAGGUUAGUGACGUGAAUGGACAGUGUGGGAGUGGAAAUAGGAUGACAGGGGGACCAUUUAGCUCUGCUCAGGCCUGCUUGUCCCAGCAGCCAGAAAGGCUGAGCUGAAACGGGUCACUCUGACCCUCCUGGGGCUUUUCUUUCAAGGCAGGUGUGGCCUGGCUGGUGACAGUGUGAGGUUUUCUCACAUCUAGCACACAGGACUCCCUGGACUGUCCUUGUGCUUUCAAGAGGAGGCCAACAGCUUCACCUUUCCCAGGACACAGAGCUCUGUGAACAACCUCUUGAAGAAACCCUUUAAAGACUCUUUCUCCAUACUGAGAAGUGGAGGAAGGAGGGAGACAGAAUAUAUGGAGGGGUUGUAGAUGUUUAGGGGUUGUAGAUGUUUAGGGGUUGUAGGUGUUUAGGGGUUGUAGAUGUUUAGGGGUUGUAGAUGUUUAGGGGC
ensembl:lncRNA